UACCCGAUGGUGUAAUUGGCAACACAUGGCCUUUUGGUGGCCAUAUUCCAGGUUCGAGUCCUGGUCGGGUAG
rnacentral:tRNA from 2 species